rnacentral:SRP_RNA from 1 species
GCACUAGACGGGGAACUAGCGAUGCCUUGUAACCUGCGAUUCGCUACAGCAGGGUUUAAUUCCCAGUUAGAGGGAUAUAUUUUUAUUAUAAGCCUAGUAAGACUCGUGUUGAUUGAUGGGUCUUGCGCAACAGGAAACUAUGAACCAUGUCAGGACGGGAACGUAGCAGCAUUAAGUAGAUCUUUCUGUGUGCCGCAAGGUCACCUAUCAUGAGCGAAACUUCUUAGA